rnacentral:lncRNA from 1 species
GCUGAAACCCUAGGGAUUACACUGAAAACCCUACGCCCAAUUUUCUUUCUUUUCUUCUUUUUCUCUCGAAAGGUUUUGGACCUUCACCUCACGUAUAAGACUUCCUCAUGCCCCACUCUCUUUCUCAAAAUUUUUCUAUGCAUGCCCCACCUCCCUAUUUCUUUUAAAACAGUUCAAAACAUGUCCUAUCCGCGUGAGAGGAUAAAGACAAGUGGUUACACAUUUGAAUUCAAAUCAAAUUUGAAUUCAAAUGAAAACCAACUCAUCCCUAUCCACUUAUGGUGUGAGAAGAGAAGGGC